UUGUCUUCGGCAAGGUGGUGAACCGGGGGGUCGCCGUGCUGCGGGACUGAACGUGGGGUUGGUUUCGGUUCUGAAAACCCUAGGAUAUAUCAAAGGCAGUGUGUGUAAGGCUGUGUGUGAGUGUAUAAAUAAACACAAUGUCGUGCAAG